rnacentral:rRNA from 1 species
AACUAACGCUGGCGGCGUGCCUAACACAUGCAAGUCGUACGAGAAAGCCGGCUUCGGCUGGUGAGUAAAGUGGCGCACGGGUGAGUAACGCGUGGAUAAUCUGCCCUUAAGUGUGGAAUAACGUACCGAAAGGUGCGCUAAUACCGCAUAAUGCCUGGCAACACAAGUUGUCCGGCCAAAGAAGGCCUCUGUUUACAAGCUUUCGCUUCAGGAUGAGUCCGCGUACCAUUAGCUUGUUGGUGAGGUAAAGGCUCACCAAGGCGACGACGGGUAGCCGGCCUGAGAGGGCGACCGGCCACACUGGGACUGAGACACGGCCCAGACUCCUACGGGAGGCAGCAGUGGGGAAUAUUGCACAAUGGGCGAAAGCCUGAUGCAGCGACGCCGCGUGAGGGAUGGCGGCCUUCGGGUUGUUAAACCGUCUUUCUAGCAGGGAAGAAGCGAAAGUGACGGUACCUGCAGAAGAAGCACCGGCUAACUACGUGCCAGCAGCCGCGGUAAUCUCG